rnacentral:miRNA from 1 species
AAAAGAAUGACCUGGUUUGACUUG